AUUCUAAAACUUGUAAUAUUUGCAUUUGCCCGUAACACCCUCUCCAUUAAACUGUGGGCAUUGUAGACCAUUUCUUCCUUAAAUUAGUAAACCAAAGUUCUCCAACAGUCUUUUAAUUUUUUUGUGCUCCCAGCAUCUUUGAUCAUUGUUGUAACAGUAAAAUAUCCGUAGUAUGAUCUUUGCCUGUAAAGGUGGUUGAUUAAAAUGAGCAAAGCUUUUGUCUGGGAAAGAAUUGAAAAGAACACCAGGUUCCAGAGUAAGAUAUUCUUGGAUGGAUCCGGAUACGAAUUGUAAUCCAAAAUUAAAAAUAGUAAUUGUAUUUGUAAUCCAAAGUCUGUAAAGGCCUGUAGAAGUUUACAUUCCUUAGAUACAUUGCUGGAGGUUGUGUUUGUAGAAUACCCGGGUAUUAGUUGUAGAGUAUAGGUUGUAGAGUCCAGCUUUCCAAAUAUUUGGAUAGAAUUGGUUGCAGAUAUUGAAUCAGCAUCAUCUGUUAUCACCGUGGUGAUGGCGUUGGUAUUUGUCUUUGUCUUUUGUCUUUGCUUUUUAUUUUGUUUGUUUUUUCCAUGAAACAUUUUUACACCGUUUAUGAUGUGUAUAGAUUGGAUACUCUCCGAUAUUCUUUUACGGAAUAAAUUAAUUGACAGCAUUUCCAAGACAUUGUCUUAAGUGACAUGGAUCCCAUUAUAGUAAAUGUUUUGUUGAUACAGCAAUCGAAGUGGAUCCUCAAGAACGCCUCUUUUUGCUG
rnacentral:lncRNA from 1 species